UGCAGUCGAGCGAACAGAAGGGAGCUUGCUCCCGGAUGUUAGCGGCGGACGGGUGAGUAACACGUGGGUAACCUGCCUGUAAGACUGGGAUAACUCCGGGAAACCGGAGCUAAUACCGGAUAGUUCCUUGAACCGCAUGGUUCAAGGAUGAAAGACGGUUUCGGCUGUCACUUACAGAUGGACCCGCGGCGCAUUAGCUAGUUGGUGGGGUAAUGGCUCACCAAGGCGACGAUGCGUAGCCGACCUGAGAGGGUGAUCGGCCACACUGGGACUGAGACACGGCCCAGACUCCUACGGGAGGCAGCAGUAGGGAAUCUUCCGCAAUGGACGAAAGUCUGACGGAGCAACGCCGCGUGAGUGAUGAAGGUUUUCGGAUCGUAAAGCUCUGUUGUUAGGGAAGAACAAGUGCGAGAGUAACUGCUCGCACCUUGACGGUACCUAACCAGAAAGCCACGGCUAACUACGUGCCAGCAGCCGCGGUAAUACGUAGGUGGCAAGCGUUGUCCGGAAUUAUUGGGCGUAAAGGGCUCGCAGGCGGUUUCUUAAGUCUGAUGUGAAAGCCCCCGGCUCAACCGGGGAGGGUCAUUGGAAACUGGGAAACUUGAGUGCAGAAGAGGAGAGUGGAAUUCCACGUGUAGCGGUGAAAUGCGUAGAGAUGUGGAGGAACACCAGUGGCGAAGGCGACUCUCUGGUCUGUAACUGACGCUGAGGAGCGAAAGCGUGGGGAGCGAACAGGAUUAGAUACCCUGGUAGUCCACGCCGUAAACGAUGAGUGCUAAGUGUUAGGGGGUUUCCGCCCCUUAGUGCUGCAGCUAACGCAUUAAGCACUCCGCCUGGGGAGUACGGUCGCAAGACUGAAACUCAAAGGAAUUGACGGGGGCCCGCACAAGCGGUGGAGCAUGUGGUUUAAUUCGAAGCAACGCGAAGAACCUUACCAGGUCUUGACAUCCUCUGACAACCCUAGAGAUAGGGCUUUCCCUUCGGGGACAGAGUGACAGGUGGUGCAUGGUUGUCGUCAGCUCGUGUCGUGAGAUGUUGGGUUAAGUCCCGCAACGAGCGCAACCUUUGAUCUUAGUUGCCAGCAUUUAGUUGGGCACUCUAAGGUGACUGCCGGUGACAAAC
rnacentral:rRNA from 1 species